rnacentral:rRNA from 1 species
CAAUAGCGUAUAUUAAAGCUGUUGCGGUUAAAAAGCUCGUAGUUGGAUUUCUGUCAAGGACAACUGGUCCGCCCUCCGGGUGAGCACAUAGUUUGGUCUUGACAUCUUGCUGGAAGCUGUUGCUGCACUUGGCUGUGUGGCGCAGUGUUCAGCACUUUCACUUUGAGGAAAUUGGAGUGUUUCAAGCAGGCACAUGCCUUUGGACACAGUAGCAUGGAAUAAUUAGAUUGGGCUUUUGCUCCAAUUUGUCGGUUUCUGGAGCUGAGGUGAGUAUUAAUGGGGAUUGUUGGGGGCAUCCGAAUUUAGCCGUCAGAGGUGAAAUUCUUGGAUCUGCUAAAGACGGACAACUGCGAAAGCGUUUGCCCAGGAUGUUUUCAUCGA